UGGGGAAUUUUGGACAAUGGGCGAAAGCCUGAUCCAGCAAUGCCGCGUGUGUGAAGAAGGCCUUUGGGUUGUAAAGCACUUUUGUCCGGAAAGAAAUCCUUGGCUCUAAUACAGUCGGGGGAUGACGGUACCGGAAGAAUAAGCACCGGCUAACUACGUGCCAGCAGCCGCGGUAAUACGUAGGGUGCAAGCGUUAAUCGGAAUUACUGGGCGUAAAGCGUGCGCAGGCGGUUUGCUAAGACCGAUGUGAAAUCCCCGGGCUCAACCUGGGAACUGCAUUGGUGACUGGCAGGCUAGAGUAUGGCAGAGGGGGGUAGAAUUCCACGUGUAGCAGUGAAAUGCGUAGAGAUGUGGAGGAAUACCGAUGGCGAAGGCAGCCCCCUGGGCCAAUACUGACGCUCAUGCACGAAAGCGUGGGGAGCAAACAGGAUUAGAUACCCUGGUAGUCCACGCCCUAAAACGAUGUCAACUAGUUGUUGGGGAUUCAUUUCCUUAGUAACGUAGCUAACGCGUGAAGUUGACC
rnacentral:rRNA from 1 species